UUCCGGUUGAUCCUGCCGGACCCGACUGCUAUCAGAGUGGGACUAAGCCAUGCGAGUCAACAUAGCAAUAUGUGGCAUACGGCUCAGUAACACGUAGUCAACAUGCCCAGGGGACGUGGAUAACCUCGGGAAACUGAGGAUAAACCGCGAUAAGUCACUGCUUCUGGAAUGGGCAAUGACUUAAAUCUAUAUGGCCCCUGGAUUGGACUGCGGCCGAUCAGGCUGUUGGUGAGGUAAUGGCCCACCAAACCUGUAACCGGUACGGGCUCUGAGAGGAGGAGCCCGGAGAUGGGCACUGAGACAAGGGCCCAGGCCCUAUGGGGCGCAGCAGGCGCGAAACCUCUGCAAUAGGCGAAAGCCUGACAGGGUUACUCUGAGUGAUUUCCGUUAAGGAGAUCUUUUGGCACCUCUAAAAAUGGUGCAGAAUAAGGGGUGGGCAAGUCUGGUGUCAGCCGCCGCGGUAAUACCAGCACCCCGAGUGGUCGGGACGUUUAUUGGGCCUAAAGCAUCCGUAGCCGGUUCUGCAAGUCUUCCGUUAAAUCCACCUGCUUAACAGAUGGGCUGCGGAAGAUACUAUAGAGCUAGGAGGCGGGAGAGGCAAGCGGUACUCGAUGGGUAGGGGUAAAAUCCGUUGAUCCAUUGAAGACCACCAGUGGCGAAGGCGGCUUGCCAGAACGCGCUCGACGGUGAGGGAUGAAAGCUGGGGGAGCAAACCGGAUUAGAUACCCGGGUAGUCCCAGCUGUAAACGAUGCAGACUCGGUGAUGAAUUGGCUUUAUGCCAAUUCAGUGCCGCAGGGAAGCCGUUAAGUUUGCCGCCUGGGGAGUACGGUCGCAAGACUGAAACUUAAAGAAUUGGCGGG
rnacentral:rRNA from 1 species